rnacentral:rRNA from 1 species
GACGAAGGAUCCAAGCGUUGUCCGGAUUUACUGGGUUUAAAGGGUGCGUAGGCGGAUUAAUAAGUCAGAGGUGAAAGCCUGCAGCUCAACUGUAGAAUUGCCUUUGAAACUGUUAAUCUAGAGUACAUUUGAGGUGGCUGGAAUAUAUCAUGUAGCGGUGAAAUGCUUAGAUAUGAUAUAGAACACCGAUUGCGAAGGCAGGUCACUAAGAUGAAACUGACGCUGAGGCACGAAAGCGUGGGUAGCAAAC